rnacentral:misc_RNA from 1 species
GAUGAAGAACGUAGCGAAAUGCGAUAAGUAAUGUGAAUUGCAGAAUUCAGUGAAUCAUCGAAUCUUUGAACGCACAUUGCGCCCCUUGGUACUCCGGGGGGCAUGCCUGUUCGAGCGUCAUUACAACCCUCAAGCUCUGCUUGGUCUUGGGCGUCACCGGUCCCCGGUGUGCCUUAAAAUCAGUGGCGGCGCCAUCUGGCUCUAAGCGUAGUACAUACUCUCGCUACAGACGUCCGGUGGAUGCUGGCCAGCAACCCCCAAUUUAUCAAGGUUGACCUCGGAUCAGGUAGGGAUACCCGCUGAACUUAAGCAUAUCAAUAAGCGGAGGA